CAUUAUUUUUCCUCCCAUAGUGGCUGUGUCUGUCCCUUUUUCUCGACUGCUAACACUAAUCCAGAUAGACCAUAGAAUUUUCCUUCAACAUAAAGUUGACGCAACACUGUAAAGUCGGAUGGAAGAAUAUUAGGAAACGCUUCUGGGGACCUUAGAUAGUCAAGCACGAAAUCAAAGUAUCUGGGAUUCCUGUCAAUGAAAUAGGUUUCGUUGGAUGGCUUGAUGGGUGAAUUUAUGUUGGUCAUUGCUGCCAGUAAUGAUGAUGGGUCGCUUGACAGUGUUCUUCUACUUGUUUCAAACUUUCUCCCCCCCACAUUCAGUAUUACGUGACCGUCUUGUUGUUCUUUGACUAUGUUAAGUUUAACUUCCAUCUGGUUAGUCGGGGUAUAUGUAGGUGUUUCAUUAGAUUCCUGAACUUCAUAACUUUCUUCUUCUGGGGCAUUUAUCGAAAGGACAUCUUUGAUGGGAUUUUCUGAUUUCUUUGUAGAUGAGGACGAGUCCGAAUUUGAAGUUGAAGAUGAGGAUGAGGAUGAUGAUGAUGAUACCGAAGAUACGACUGACUUGGAUUUGGUCAGGUCUCCCAAGUACCAGAUCAAUAGGGAGUGCAACUUGUCGACCAAAGACCAUCUCAUUUGGGCUCACCCCUGUGGAUUCAUGUACUGAGGAUCUAUACGCCAACAUGAGUAAAGGGAUGGCGUCAACCCAUUUUGUAAAGUAGUCUCCUACAACUAGUAGAUGUCCCCCAGUGAUGCCACUGUGGAUUUCUUCCAAAACUUCUUUGGCAAAUGAACUGGGAAGAAUUACUUGCAAUUUUGGGGUAACAUGUUCCCAUUUAUGAUAAAGAAUGUUAUCUUGCCAUUUGAGGGAAUCGAAUCUAACCCAGUAGUAUUUGUAUAUUUCACUCAAAUUUGAUAUAGCCUCCCAGGAUCUUGAGAAUUAGAUGGUAAAGAACUUUCAUGAUUUCCAGAGCGAGUGACAACCUGGCAUGAUUCAGACUGAUGGGUCACUGAUGCCUGUUUGGGAGAAGAUAAAACAUGGUCAUCUCUGGAUAACCUGGGUGAUCCCAUACAAGAUCUGGGAUUAAAAACUAUUUCUCCAGAGUCUUCCAGGUUGCUGUUAUUUUGGGACAUUUUUUUUUUUAAAUCUUUUACAAAAAAUGUUCAAAUUGGGUAAAAUAAAAUUUUAUAAAUCUUAAAAUAUUUGUUUCCUAAUUUCUAUCCAAUCAAAGUAUGGGAUUCUAAAUUAUAAUGAUCCCACUUCUGACACCAAUGUUACGUUUUCGACCCUUUUUACUGUGUUUUGGGUAAACGCAACUGUGGGUCUCCCAAGUCUGUAUAUCAGAUAGAAAUUAUAAUACCAAAUAACUUUUUAUAUAAAACUUUAUUAAAAUAAAUUAAUUUGUCAAGGAUGAG